UUCUUUUAUGUUUUUCCUACAACCCUAAAUAAUCCUAUCGCAUUUUCGGUCGAUUUUCCUCUGAUUUUCCGUUCGAUUGUCUUCCCUUUUCCUCUGAUUAUCUUCCUCAUUUUCUGUUAUCUUCUCCCUUUCCUCUCUAGUGUUAAUCGAAAUGGAAGAAAAUCUACAUUUCCUUACUCCCAUUGUCAACGAUCGGUUCGUUCUGUUCGUUUUCGAUUUUUUCCAUACUAUCCUUGAUUUUAUGUUCUUACUAUUGAAACCCAUUUUCGUUUUGCGAUAGUUGUGUUUCAACGUUGCCUCCGAAAUGGUUAUCAUCCUCUAUCUGAUGCAUUUCGUUGACCGGUUGCCAUAAACGUGUGUUACCCCCUAUUUCUCAUUCCCUCUCCAUCUUUAAUUUCCAUAUGUUUGGUUUGCCGAUGAACCCUUGCUGCUCCCCAACCCUUAUCGGUCUAAGAACGAUUUUGCUGCACUUUUUUUCUAAUCGAACGACCAUUAAUGUCACAUAUGCUACACUAAUAUGUUGAAUGGAAACCGAGUAGGGCCAUGACGGAGCAUGGCAGGGGUCGCCGAUCAACAAUGCAGAUAUGUGCAGCCAAUGAUUAGUAAAUUGGUGGUCACUCCCUGAUGCUUUUUUCAUGUUUGUGCAUUUUUUUGGGUCUACUAUACAUUUGUUUUUCCAUGACCAGUGAUGAGUUUAAUGUUUGGCACUUUCUAACGUAUGUAAACUUUGGUUUAACUUUUUUUUUUCUAAUGGUUUGUCUGUCAGUUUGUUUCGGUGUUCCUGACUUUGUGUUUCUCACAUGUAUGAUUUUUAUUUGCCUCCCUACGUGAUUCAUUAUGUCCUGCACCUCCAUUCCAAGUUAUGUUUACUGCGUCUAAAUGAAUUUUGUUAUUCAUUCCAUUUGUUCAUUGCCUUAUUAUUAUUUAAACAAACUUGUUUCACUUUUUUUUUUCUCACUAUGUGUUCCUCACAUGUGUGGAUUUGUUUCCAUGGUUGCCUUAAAAUUGUGGUUACUGCCUCCUGGUUUACGAUAACACUGUCUAUUCCCCUAGCAUCCUAUUUUUACGUCAACAAUGUGAUGCCUAUUGUGUACUUGUGUUAAAAAUUAUGUGCAUACCUACUUGCCUAAUUCUCCAAGAUUAGGUCUUCAACUUUGACGGUCACUUUAGCCACAAUAUUGUCACCCUCAUUUGUAAAAUCCCCUAUUUUAUGGGAUUCUUGUUCAUCUUUAAUGUUUCCUCCCUUAUUUAUUACUAUCUUCCCUUUACUAUAUAUUUGACCCUUCCUCCUUCUUGCAUUCCAUUCCCGAGUGUCUUCCAAUUUUGCUAUAUUUGCAUUUCUCUUUGGUACGUUCAUCAAAUGUCGCCUUCUUAUUUGUUUUUCACAAAACAAGACUGCUUCAUUUACUUUGUUGUAUCCCUAUUGGUUUCAUCAUUGUGUUUACUUCUGCUUAUUUAUGGCUAUUGCACCAUAAUUGUGUAUGUCUACCAUGCUCACUUACCAUGUUAAUGCAUCCCAUUUGUUUUGCUAUUUUAGCCACUUUAUCGAAUACUUUACAACUCACGGACUUGUAUGUUAACUCCCUCUCGGUUUGCUCACUGUGUUCACUUUGCCCUUUUUAACGUUCUCACCACUAUUGUGUAUGUCUCCUAUGCUCAAUUAUCAUGUUAAUUCAUCCUCUUUGUUUUGCCAUUUUAGCCACUGUAUUGAAUUCUUUACAACCCAUUGUUGUCAUAAUGUUUGCUUGCUCUUUUGAAUGACCCCUUGCUCUUUUGUAUGAUCUCUUCUCUCGGUUUGCUCACUGUUUUGUCACAAUGGCCACUGUUUUGUCACCAUGUCUCCCUUGCUAUUUUGAAUGAGGUUUUCCGACUCUCUUUUCUUUAUUUGCUUUUACAUAUGAUGUUAUCGAGUCAACUGCACAAAAUUCUACUACAAAUGCAUUCUUCUUGAAUGCCUUUGCGAGAAUUUCUUAACUCUGAGGCUACUUUCUUUUCCUUUCAUUAUGUACCAACACUUCUGUUAUUUAUUGUACCCACAUGGAUUUGUAAGGUUCUUUUUGUAGUUAAGGUAUGUUUGAUACACAUUUUUCCUUCCAUUUACAUUAUGUAAUGUAUACCAGCACGCAUAUGUUUCAAAAAUUUAUAUCAUAAAUUUAAUUCACACAGAAAUUGUAUUAUUUAAUUUUUUAUUUGUUUUCAAUUUGUAGUUCAAUUUAAUCCGUAAAUCCCCUACUUUUUUUAAAAAAAUUUAUGGUAAAUAUUUGUUUUUUCUACGACAAGCUCAUAUGAGAAAGAAAUUGAAUCACAUUUUUUUCCAUGUGUAAGAAAUGCUUAUGAAAUGUUUUCCGUAAACCAAAUACAAAUAAAAAUAAAAGUUUUAUUAAUUUUUUUUUGUUGCGUUUGUCUAAAGUUACUUAUUUUGGUCUUACUGUUUUCCAAAACGACGAAAAAAUGUAUUAAAAUAAUGUUUAUGUUUCAUUUCUACUGUAACCCCAACACACAACAAAUAUGUAUUAAUGUUUAAGUUGAUUUUAUAUAAAAACGAAUUUUGGACCAUACACACAAUGCACAGUACAAACAAAUUGUAUUGUUUGUUUUCAUUUAUGUAAAACAUAUUUCUUCAAGUUGUACCGUAAAUAGAAUACAAAAAGAAAUUUGUAUUUUAAGUUUGUAUCGUCAAUCCUUGGAUUCUGUUGUUUUUUUUUCAUUUAUUAAUUUUUUUCUUCAUGAGAACGAUACGCAACAUACUAGAAUGAUUAAUUCGUUUGGCACAUAAAGAAUAAAAAAUAAGAGAUGAAGAUUACUCCGUUUGAAAAAGAGAAAAAAAUAAGAGAAUUAAUUUGGAGAGAAGAAACAAAUGAGAAAAGAGGAGAGAGAGAGAAGGACUAUAUUGGAAAAUUGAAAGAUUACGUUGGAAAAUGAAAUGAUUAAGUGAGAAAAGUGGAUAAUAAACGAGGAAAAAGAAUAAAUAAAGGAAUUAAGUGUAGUAUUUUCCUCUCCUAAUCCGUGACUCAAACAAGGAAAUGAAAGAACUGCUUUCCCUCUCCCAAAUGGUCACUUAAGAAUUAAAAAAGCAAUAAAAAGUUUUGGGCUAAAUAGUCAACACCUACCAUAUUUUUGUUAAUACUUUUGUG
rnacentral:lncRNA from 1 species